CUGCCCCGUGCCUGUGCACACACACACGUGCCACCGGGGAUGGCCCCUGCCCCACGCCUGUGCACACACACAUGUGCCACCGGGGAUGGCCCCUGCCCCGUGCCGGUGCACACACCUACGUGCCACUGGGGAUGGCCCCUGCCCCACACACGUGCACAUGCCUGUGUGUGGCUCCUGCAAGCUGGGUGUGUGCUGGUGUGCACUGGCAUGCUGGCUUGUGCAGUGUGGAUGUGCAUGUGUGUGCAGGUACCAUCUGCCCAUGUGAGGGUGUGCACGUAUACAUGCGCGUGUGGGCGUGUGCUCGGCACCAUCUGCCCACGUGAGGGUGUGCACGUGUACGUGCGUGUGCGGGCGUGUGCUCAGCGCCAUCUGCCCACGUGAGGGUGUGCACGUGUACGUGCAUGUGCGGGCGUGUGCUCAGUGCCAUCUGCCCACGUGAGGGUGUGCACGCGUACGUGCGUGUGCGGGCGUGUGCUUGGGGGCCAUCUACCCACGUGAGGGUGUGCACGCAUACGUGCGUGUGCGGGCGUGUGCUCGGCACCACCUGCCCACGUGAGGGUGUGCGCGCGUGUGCGUGUGCUCGAGGGGCCAUCUGCCCACGUGAGGGUGUGCACGUGUGCGGGCGUGUGCUCGAGGGGCCAUCUGCCCACGUGAGGGUGUGCGCGUGUACGUGCGUGUGCGGGCGUGUGCUCGAGGGGCCAUCUGCCCACGUGAGGGUGUGCACGUGUACGUGCGUGUGCGGGCGUGUGCUCGGCGCCAUCUGCCCGCGAGGGUGUGCACGUGUGCGGGCGUGAGCUCGGGCCAUCUGCCCGCGUGAGGGUGUGCGCGUGUGCGGGCGUGUGCUCGAGGGGCCAUCUGCCCACGUGAGGGUGUGCACGUGCGUGUGCG
rnacentral:lncRNA from 1 species